rnacentral:misc_RNA from 1 species
CGCGUGUUCGGCUGGUCGACCCCGACAGUCUCUACAAGUUCCUGGUCAGGGCGCCGGCGACAACAACCGCCGAUAAAGCGCAUCAGACCAUCCAAGCUACGAUUCCGGAGAUCCUUGCCGAUCCGUAUUUCCGGGAAAUUGAGCAGGAGGCGAUCGGUGCCUGGAAAAGCAACAAGAGCUUUCUCGGCCUCGUACCCACGCAGGUCGAGACGUUCAUCACAGUUCUACAACUGACGCACGGCAUCGUGAACCU